AGCAGCCGCGGUAAUUCCAGCUCCAAUAGCGUAUAUUAAAGUUGUUGCAGUUAAAAAGCUCGUAGUUGAAUUUCGGGAUCAAUAUAUCGGUCGUGCCUUGGUACGUACUGGUAUCAUUGGUUUCUCCUUUCUGACGAACCAUGAUGUCAUUAAUUUGGUGUUAUGGGGAGUUAGGACUGUUACUUUGAAAAAAUUAGAGUGUUUAAAGCAAGCUAACGCUUGAAUACAUUAGCAUGGAAUAAUGAAAUAGGACGUUCGAUCCUAUUUUGUUGGUUUCUAGGAUUGACGUAAUGAUUAAUAGGGAUAGUUGGGGGCAUUAGUAUUCAAUUGUCAGAGGUGAAAUUCUUGGAUUAUUGGAAGACUAACUACUGCGAAAGCAUUUGCCAAGGAUGUUUUCAUUAAUCAAGAACGAAAGUUAGGGGGAUCAAGACGAUCAGAUACCGUCGUAGUCUUAACCAUAAACUAUGCCGACUAGGGAUCGGAUGAUGUUAAUUUUUUAAUGACUCAUUCGGCGCCUUAC
rnacentral:rRNA from 1 species